AUUGAACGCUGGCGGCAGGCUUAACACAUGCAAGUCGAACGAGUGGCGGACGGGUGAGUAAUGCUUGGGAAUCUAGCUUAUGGAGGGGGAUAACUACGGGAAACUGUAGCUAAUACCGCGUACCAUAGGAUGAGCCCAGGUGGGAUUAGGUUGUUGGUGAGGUAAAGGCUCACCAAGGCGACGAGCCCUAGCUGGUCUGAGAGGAUGACCGGCCACACUGGCACUGAGACACGGCCCAGACUCCUACGGGAGGCAGCAGUGGGAAAUAUUGCGCAAUGGGCGCAACCCUGACGCAGCCAUGCCGCGUGAAUGAAGAAGGCCUUCGGGUUGUAAAGUACUUUCGGUGGCGAGGCGUUACCUACAGAAGAAGCACCGGCUAACUCCGUGCCAGCAGCCGCGGUAAUUC
rnacentral:rRNA from 1 species